GAUGAACGCUGGCGGCGUGCUUAACACAUGCAAGUCGAACGAAACACCUUAUUUGAUUUUCUUCGGAACUGAAGAUUUGGUGAUUGAGUGGCGGACGGGUGAGUAACGCGUGGGUAACCUGCCCUGUACAGGGGGAUAACAGUCAGAAAUGACUGCUAAUACCGCAUAAGACCACAGCACCGCAUGGUGCAGGGGUAAAAACUCCGGUGGUACAGGAUGGACCCGCGUCUGAUUAGCUGGUUGGUGAGGUAACGGCUCACCAAGGCGACGAUCAGUAGCCGGCUUGGGGGAGUGAACGGCCACAUUGGGACUGAGACACGGCCCAAACUCCUACGGGAGGCAGCAGUGGGGAAUAUUGCACAAUGGGGGAAACCCUGAUGCAGCGACGCCGCGUGAGUGAAGAAGUAGUUCGGUAUGUAAAGCUCUAUCAGCAGGGAAGAAAAUGACGGUACCUGACUAAGAAGCCCCGGCUAACUACGUG
rnacentral:rRNA from 1 species